UACCUCAGUAACGGCGAGUGAAGCGGUAACAGCUCAAAUUUGAAAUCUGGGUCUCUCGGGCUCCGAGUUGUAAUUUGUAGAAGAUGCUUUGGGUGCGGCCCCGGUCUAAGUUCCUUGGAACAGGACGUCAUAGAGGGUGAGAAUCCCGUAUGUGAUCGGUGGCCUGCGCCCGUGUAAAGCUCUUUCGACGAGUCGGGUUGUUUGGGAAUGCAGCUCUAAAUGGGUGGUAAAUUUCAUCUAAAGCUAAAUAUUGGCCAGAGACCGAUAGCGCACAAGUAGAGUGAUCGAAAGAUGAAAAGCACUUUGGAAAGAGAGUUAAACAGUACGUGAAAUUGUUGAAAGGGAAGCGCUUGCAACCAGACUUGCGCGGGGUUGAUCAUCCGGGGUUCUCCCCGGUGCACUCGGCCUCGCUCAGGCCAGCAUCGGUUUCGGUGGUUGGAUAAAGGCCUUGGGAAUGUGGCCCCUCUCGGGGGGUGUUAUAGCCCUCGGUGCAAUGCAGCCUACCGGGACCGAGGACCGCGCUUCGGCUAGGAUGCUGGCGUAAUGGUUGUAAGCGACCCGUCUUGAAACACGGACCAAGGAGUCUAACAUCUAUGCGAGUGUUUGGGUGUCAAACCCAUACGCGUAAUGAAAGUGAACGGAGGUGAGAACCCUUAAGGGUGCAUCAUCGACCGAUCCUGAUGUCUUCGGAUGGAUUUGAGUAAGAGCAUAGCUGUUGGGACCCGAAAGAUGGUGAACUAUGCCUGAAUAGGGUGAAGCCAGAGGAAACUCUGGUGGAGGCUCGCAGCGGUUCUGACGUGCAAAUCGAUCGUCAAAUUUGGGCAUAGGGGCGAAAGACUAAUC
rnacentral:rRNA from 1 species